CAAGCUCACCCUCUUCAACAAUCUUUGCUUUACUGAGUUCCGGGUGGACUAUUUAAAUAUCAUACAAAUUGAUUCUGACAUCACAAUCACUGCCUGCUUCCUAAAACUUGCCCUCCACCGUCUAUUAUAAAUGCUUUCCAAUCAGUGCUCCCAUUCUUCAUUCUAUUCACCACUUAGUUACUAGAAUGUUUUUCUCAACUAUGAAUCUGACUUCACUCCCUUUCUUGAAAACCUCCUGUAGUUCCUGUUGUGUACGGGAUAAAGACUGUGAGCCCCUGGAGUUCAGGGACCAUUUCUUAAUCAUAUUCCAGAACCUAUCACAAUGAAUGACACGAAGAAUAUAUUUGAUAAAAAUCUGAUGAAUGAACCACUCUAAAAUGCAACUCUAAUAAAGAAAAUUACUGCCUAUUCAGUUGGAACUGUACCAUGUUACAAACGUAAAAUUAUGUAUAGUCUGAUAAAGAAAUACUAUAAUAGCCUUGGAAACAGCUCACAUACAAUUUUUUUUAUAAAUGGAUUCAUUACCAUAUAACUGGACCAGCUUACUGAAGAGUAGCCCUACAGCAGUCACUUCGCAGUUUGCAAUUCAUUUGAGGUUCAAAGCUAGCUCAAGGGAAAACAACGUUAGUAUUAACAAACUUAUUUUUAAGCUUAAGGUCAGAAUUUAAGGGAAAAUAAAUAAAUAUAGUAUGUUCUAAGAAUCCAAAGGAAUUUUUAAAAAUUGCCCCCUGCAGCUGUAAUUUCUGCAUGGAUGAGAAAACCUUAAUUGCUUGCUGGCUUCCAAGAAAGCCAUUAACCUGCAUUUAAAAAUUCAGCUUUCAUCAAGAACAACCUCACAUAUCCAGCUCUCAUGGAAAAAGGAAUAGAAGCCUCUGACCUAGUUUUCAAUUAUUACCAAACUACUGAUAAUUGAUCUCCUGGUCUCCAGGUUUGUUUGUUUUACUAAAAUAAAUUCCCUCUGGAGCUGCAGGUGCUUACCAUGGGGCUGCGCAGGUGGAAAGCAGCCCAGUCUUACUAUGAGGAUGUCCGUUUGCCAUCUGGGAACAAGGAGGAAGAAGCAGAGACCUGGGCAAGACCUCAGAGUAAGUGUCCUUUUUGGCGGCUCCCAGGGGUCCCCAUCAUGUGUUAUAGGAAGGCAGAAUUAUUUGAGAUAAGGAUAGGAGCUGAAAUAAGCAGUGCUAAUACUGGUUAAAAGUUGGUGCUUCAGCUGCAGUCACAACAGAUAAUGUCUCUUCAGUUAUAUUUCCAAGCUAUUUCUCAUUUGGCAAUGUACACUUACACCAAAACUGUGAAACUCUCGGAAGUGGCAGACCUUGGCAACAAGUGAAUGGAAACUGUGAAUUACAGUACAUGCCACUGAGUAAGGGGUGCACAUCUAGAAACCAGAAAUCAGGUUCUGUCUUGGCUCAGCGUCUAACUAGAUGUGUGGACUUAGACAAGUCAUUUAACCAUUGGGGAUUCAGUCUCUUCAUCUGUAAAGAGUUCAUUUAGAUGAUCUCUUAAGUCCCUAAGAUCCCCAUUGUUAGGUCCAGGGUCAGGUUCCAGCCCAUGCUGAGGCCGGAAGGGAGUGGGUAGAUGAAUGGCAGACAGCUGAAAGAACACUCAGGGGGCUACGGGUAGGUGAAAUACAAUUUUAUUCAGCAGCUCUCUUACACUGUGUGUCUCGGCUGCUUGUUCCAGCCACUCCCAAGCACAGAUCUCUGCUGGCUCUCUCUCCCUUUGGGGUCAACAGCUUAACUCUUUCCCUCUGAGCGCAAGCAAGCUGAGCUGUGUCCUGGCUCCCCGCUGCAAGACAGACAGAUCUGGUGCUCUCUCUCUUUCUUUGGGUGCAAGCACGCCUGCACAGUGUCACCAGGGCAAUUAUACCUUUUAAAGACAACAGUGGCAAAGAGCCAAGUGAUGGCCCUCCCAUGUUAUGGCUACAUAGCUGUUUAUAUUACACAUGGAGUUGCGCGCCUGCGCUACAGACUUGCUGAGUCACCCGGGAUGUUUACCUCAGCCCAUCCUGCCUGGCUGCAGUGCAGCCAUGUUCCUUACACCUACCAAUUUAAAAGUACUGUAAUUCCAUUUUAAGGGUUCUAAACCAUGAACCAUGUUCAUGGUUUAGGAUUUUAGAUAUUUCUCAUUUAAACUUAGGAGCGAACUCUGCAUUAGGACAUUUCUCCUUUCAUUGUCCAUAAGAUAACUCACCAAAUCCUUGCGCAAAGAGAAACAAAUAUAA
rnacentral:lncRNA from 1 species